UACAGAGGUCUCAAGCGUUGUUCGGAUUCAUUGGGCGUAAAGGGUGCGUAGGCGGCGCGGUAAGUCGGGUGUGAAAUCUCGGAGCUUAACUUCGAAACUGCAUUCGAUACUGCCGUGCUUGAGGACUGGAGAGGAGACUGGAAUUUACGGUGUAGCGGUGAAAUGCGUAGAUAUCGUAAGGAAGACCAGUGGCGAAGGCGGGUCUCUGGACAGUUCCUGACGCUGAGGCACGAAGGUCAGGGGAGCAAACAGG
rnacentral:rRNA from 1 species